UCCCCGUUACCGGGGCAGUCUGGCUAGAAAAAUUCAACUAACCACAAGGGUUGCGCUCGUUUAUGGACUUAACCAAACAUCUCACGACACGAGCUGACGACGGCCAUGCAUCACCUGUCACUGCGGCCCGAAGGCACACUUUCCUUUCGGAAAGCUUGGCAGGAUGUCAAACCCUGGUAAGGUUCUUCGCUUACCCUCGAAUUAAACAACACGCUCCACCGCUUGUGCGGGUCCCCGUCAAUUCCUUUAUGUUUUAGCCUUGCGGCCGUACUCCACAGGCGGGAUGCUUAACGCGUUAGCUUCGCUACUGACCGGGUCGAUACGGCCAACAGCUAGCAUCCAUAGUUUACGGCGUGGACUAC
rnacentral:misc_RNA from 1 species